CCUACGGGGGGCAGCAGUAGGGAAUCUUCGGCAAUGGGGGCAACCCUGACCGAGCAACGCCGCGUGAGUGAAGAAGGUUUUCGGAUCGUAAAGCUCUGUUGUAAGUCAAGAACGGGUGUGAGAGUGGAAAGUUCACACUGUGACGGUAGCUUACCAGAAAGGGACGGCUAACUACGUGCCAGCAGCCGCGGUAAU
rnacentral:rRNA from 1 species